AUUGAACGCUGGCGGAAUGCUUUACACAUGCAAGUCGAACGGCAGCACGGACUUCGGUCUGGUGGCGAGUGGCGAACGGGUGAGUAAUGUAUCGGAACGUGCCCAGUCGUGGGGGAUAACGUAGUGAAAAUUACGCUAAUACCGCAUACGAUCUAUGGAUGAAAGCGGGGGAUCGCAAGACCUCGCGCGAUUGGAGCGACCGAUAUCAGAUUAGGUAGUUGGGGGGGUAAGGGCCCACCAAGCCAACGAUCUGUAGCUGGUCUGAGAGGACGACCAGCCACACUGGAACUGAGACACGGUCCAGACUCCUACGGGAGGCAGCAGUGGGGAAUUUUGGACAAUGGGCGAAAGCCUGAUCCAGCCAUUCCGCGUGCAGGAUGAAGGCCCUCGGGUUGUAAACUGCUUUUGUACAGAACGAAAAGGUUUCUACUAAUACUAGGAGCUCAUGACGGUACUGUAAGAAUAAGCACCGGCUAACUGCGUGCCAGCCGCCGCAGUAA
rnacentral:rRNA from 1 species